rnacentral:tRNA from 1 species
GGUUGUGGCUCAGUGGCAGAGCGCUUGCUUGGCAUGUAUGAGGCACCGGGUUCGAUUCUCAGGACCA